UGGGCUUGACAUGUGAGUGACCGCCGUGGAAACACGGUUUUCCUUCGGGACACCAUCACAGGUGGUGCAUGGCUGUCGUCAGCUCGUGUCGUGAGAUGUUGGGUUAAGUCCCGCAACGAGCGCAACCCCCGUUCCAUGUUGCCAGCAUUAAGUUGGGGACUCAUGGGAGACUGCCGGUGACAAACCGGAGGAAGGUGGGGAUGACGUCACACAGACUAUAC
rnacentral:misc_RNA from 1 species